CGCCUCUUGAAACUACAUAAGAGGUCCAGCCUGCCCAGUGACUAAGUUCAACGGCCGCGGUAUCCUAACCGUGCGAAGGUAGCGUAAUCACUUGUUCUUUAAAUGAGGACUAGUAUGAAUGGCACCACGAGGGUUAUGCUGUCUCCUUUUUCUAAUCAAUGAAACUGAUCUCCCCGUGAAGAAGCGGGGAUAUAUCUAUAAGACGAGAAGACCCUAUGGAGCUUUAAAUCAUGUAACACUGGCUUUCACAUUAAAAUAUUCCAGAAUUUUCAUAAUUACUCUAGCCAAUAUGAUUACUAGUUUUAGGUUGGGGUGACCACGGAGCAAAAAUUAACCUCCAUGUUGAACGGAGCUACUCCUGAGCCAAAAGCCACGACUUUAAGCACUAAUAAAUUAACAUUAAUUGACCCAAUAUUUUUGAUCAACGAACCAAGUUACCCUAGGGAUAACAGCGCA
rnacentral:rRNA from 1 species